rnacentral:rRNA from 1 species
ACACUCCUGCGGGAGGCAGCAGUGGGGAAUAUUGGACAAUGGGCGCAAGCCUGAUCCAGCCAUGCCGCGUGAGUGAUGAAGGCCCUAGGGUUGUAAAGCUCUUUCACCGGUGAAGAUAAUGACGGUAACCGGAGAAGAAGCCCCGGCUAACUUCGUGCCAGCAGCCGCGGUAAUACGAAGGGGGCUAGCGUUGUUCGGAUUUACUGGGCGUAAAGCGCACGUAGGCGGACUAUUAAGUCAGGGGUGAAAUCCCGGGGCUCAACCCCGGAACUGCCUUUGAUACUGGUAGUCUUGAGUUCGAGAGAGGUGAGUGGAAUUCCGAGUGUAGAGGUGAAAUUCGUAGAUAUUCGGAGGAACACCAGUGGCGAAGGCGGCUCACUGGCUCGAUACUGACGCUGAGGUGCGAAAGCGUGGGGAGCAAACAGGAGUAGAAACCCCGGUAGUCCCAUGA